GGCCACGUGGCGGAGUGGUUACGCAGCGGAUUGCAAAUCCGUGUACGGGGGUUCGAUUCCCUCCGUGGCCU
rnacentral:tRNA from 1 species